rnacentral:rRNA from 1 species
CUCUCCCACUACGGCGGGGUGGCCGCGCCCGCUGCCUCCUUCCUUUGGUCUUCCCGUGCCCCCUCAAGAGUGAAGUUCUUCGGGUGGCUGCUCAUCCAAUCCCGUGUGCAUACGCGGGACGUGCUGUUGCGCAAAACCAUCCUCACCGCCGAGGAGGCUGGGUGCCCCUGCUGCAAUGUGGAGCUCGAGACGGCCGACCACCUCAUCUUCGGGUGUCCGUUCGCGGCGCAAUUUUGGCGUAGGAUAGGGCUGCCCCCCGCCGCGGGCUCGGUCCGUGCGCUUCAUCGCUUUGACGUGUCGCCGGUCGUCGGCAACAACUCCCCUGCGAGCUUCGUCCUUCUCUGCUGCUGGUGGCUUUGGAAACGCCGCAAUGCAUGUGUCUUCCGGGGAGACGAGAUGUCCCUGGUCGCUACGCUCAAGGCCUGUCGAGAUGACGCGGUGCUCUGGUCGGAUGAAGGCCGAUGA